GCUGGUCCACCAAGCCCCACCUGCUCUCUCAUUUACCACGCCGUAGUCUUUGAUAUUUCCUCCUACCUCGCACUGUUCCUCUUCCUCAAAGGUCAUUCCGUUCCCCAUUUUUCUGCUCGUUCCCGAUCUAAACCAGGCGAUCUACUAGAUCCGGCGACAUGUGUGCCUCCUCCUCCUUCCAGUCACUCGCACCCUACUUCCAGGAGCAGGCUCCUCUUCCUCUCAUCCGCUGCCCGUGGUGCAACAAUGGCGACGUGCAGUGCACUGGUGGGUCUCCCAGACCGAGAAGAACCCCGACAAACAUUUCUACAAGUGCGAGCAUCACCAUUCAAACCAGCUACAGCCUGGGCGCCCUCAGAUGGAUCCUCGUAAUCGGCAUCCUCCACCUAGCAGGGGUUCUCCAUCUCUACCUCAAGAACUAAUGACGCGCUAUCGCCCACCGCUGAAGUUACCUUUAAUUAUUAGUUAAGUAAUCAAUCAAGUUUCCUGGAAUUUUCUUUUCUCGUUUUUUCUCUGAGAAAGUUUCUUUCCUCGAUUUUUCUGUCCAGGUUUCCUGGAACUUUUUUUGUACGAUAUCAGAUUGUUCCAGCGAGCUCUUCUCCAAGCCAUUUUCUUUCCUCGUUUUUUCUCUCUGGAAAGUUUCCUGAUUUUUUUUGUAUGAGAUCAGAUCUGUUUUCAAAUCUGUUCUUUUUUUCAAUGGGGACAAAUCCGGGAAAUUAGUAGGUUUUCCUGGACUGUGAAUCACAAUUUCCACCUUCUAAAAUUUUGGGUGAUUAAUUAGUGCAUUUUUAUCAAUGAAAUUCCACGGAGUGCUUUUUCGAGUAGUUAUAUUGCCCGAUUGUUGAGUUCGUUGAUGGAUCUAUAAUUGUAAUUAUAUUUUUAUGCAUCAUAGAACAAUGUCAUCAAGUAUUAUCACUGUCAAUGUUGUAAAUUUGUUGAUGGAUCUACUCCCUUGGAAUGUAUUUGCUGACAAACCAUGUUAUCUGAAAUGUA